GACGAACGCUGGCGGCGUGCUUAACACAUGCAAGUCGAACGGUAAGGCCCUUCGGGGUACACGAGUGGCGAACGGGUGAGUAACACGUGGGUGAUCUGCCCUGCACUUCGGGAUAAGCCUGGGAAACUGGGUCUAAUACCGGAUAGGACCACUGCCUGCAUGGGUGGUGGUGGAAAGCUUUUGCGGUGUGGGAUGGGCCCGCGGCCUAUCAGCUUGUUGGUGGGGUGAUGGCCUACCAAGGCGACGACGGGUAGCCGGCCUGAGAGGGUGACCGGGCACACUGGGACCGGGAUGCGGCCCAGACUCCUACGGUAGGCAGCCGUGGGGAAGCUUGCGCAAUGGGCGCGAGCCUGAUGCAGCGACGCCGCGUGAGGGAUGACGGCCUUCGGGUUGUAAACCUCUUUCAGCACCGACGAAGCGCAAGUGACGGUAGGUGCAGAAGAAGGACCGGCCAACUACGUGCCAGCCGCCGCAGUAA
rnacentral:rRNA from 1 species